rfam:Tupaia chinensis contig74008, whole genome shotgun sequence.
GUGCUUGCUUCAGCAGCACACACACUAAAAUCAGACCGACACAGAGAAGAUUAGCAUGGCCCCGGUGCAAGGAUGACACGCAAAUUUGUGAAGCGCUCCAUAUUUUU